AAAGUGUUAUUUGACUGGAGUGAGGUCUCAUGUCUGCUUAUGCGGUGGCUCGCUGCUCAGAACAGGAUGGCAGAGAUGAGCACCACCAUCAAAAACUCAAGGACCAGUGCUGUGGGUCCAGUCAUCUGUUUCAUGGAAUUCACCAGUCUGGUAUCUUCAAAAUCCAGAAGGAUGAUGGCAGAUGGCAGGAAGGUAAUGCAAACGUCAUCAGGUGUGACCCCACUGUAGCAGCUGUGAUGGAUGUUUUCUCUCACCAUAGCAAUAAAUAACACAACCUCGGUCACACUGUAUGCAUUGUUGGUCUGCAAAAUCCAUGUUUUGCAAAACUCUUCAGGAAGGUGGAUCUGUAAUAUUGGCAUUGACAUGAGAACAACAGCAGUAUUUAUUCACAAUCUCAAGCUCUCUGUCUUCCCGUCUCUCUCAUUAGCCAUCCAAGUAGUCCUGAGGAACCAAGCCCAUCAGAACAUUCUGCAACAUAAUACACAGCUCCAUUCUCCAUUCAAAUUUUGUUGUUGUUGUUGUUGUUGAUGAGACAACAUCUUACUCCAUCAGCCAGGCUGACGUACAGUGGGGCUAUCUGGGCUGACUGUAGUCUUGAGCUUCCAGGCUCAAGGCAUCCUCUCACCUCAGCCUCCUAAGUGGCUUGAACUACAGACACACAGCGACAUGCUGGGCUAGUUUUUGUAUAUUUUGUAGAGACGUGCUCUCACCAUGUUAUUCAGGCUGGACUCAAACUCCUGAGCGUAAGUGAUCCAAGCACCUUGGCCUCAAAGUGCUGAGAUUACAAGCCUGAGCCACUGCACCCAGCCCAAUCUCCAUUCUACUGAUAACAAUGUCAUUACCAGGUCUGAUGGACAGGAAAUGGUAAGGUUUCUGAAAACCUAAGGAUCACACAGCGAGUUCCAAAGGCUGAAAGUGCAUACCUGUCGACACUGAUACCAAUGACAUCCAAUGGAGGAAGAGGGUAAUCUGGAAGAGUUUCCUGACCUACUCUGCUGCUGUGAUUAAACAACCACCAGGAAAUUUUGAUGACACUGUUCUCCUGAGCUCCUCCCUUUCCUCGGGGAAGAAAAGCAUUGAAACUACAAAAAUAAAGUGUUAUUUGGCUGGAGUGAGGUCUCAUGUCUGCUUAUGCGGUGGCUCGCUGCUCAGAACAGGGAACCAUUGGAGAUACUCAUUACUCUUUGAAGGCUUACAGUGGAAUGAAUUCAAAUACGACUUAUUUGAGGAAUUGAAGUUGACUUUAUGGAGCUGAUAAGAAUCUUCUUGGAGAAAAAAAGACUGGGUAUAUUUUCAAUAUGCUUUCCUUUUAAGGUCCCUCACCUGUGGAAAGUAAAGAAUGUCACUUUCUGACAGGCUCAGGAACCUCAAGUUAUGUAGGGAUCUCAAGAAGAUGGGGGAAUUCACCCAGUUCAUACAGGUGAAAUUGCUGUUGCAAAGAUUAUGAAUAUGAGAGAAGUCCAGCAUGGCUGACUUCAUCUCGUGUCUGGCCUCAGGCUGGCUGCCCUUGCUCACUCUUGGGCAUAGGCCAAGCUAGCCAUGGGAGGAAUUUAGUUUAUAGUUUAACUUUGAAGCACGGAUGAUAAUAGUCUCUCCCUAAAAUGAACCCCUUCCUUGCUCAGGGACUGAAACUACCUUUGUAUGACAAAUGAAAGCCCACAAGAUUAAGAUUAUGAGAGGGGCCUGAAUUCUGCUAAAAUGCAGGUGUAGCUGACUGAUAACAAGUCAUUGUCCCACAGCUUGCCUUUCUAUAAUCUCUUGCUUCUCAGGAGUCACAUGGCCAGAGGUCCUGAGAUUUCCAGUCCUGUGACCCCCACCCAGAGAUGGACUUAGUGCAUGAGGACCAUUUUCCACACCCCUAUGAUUUCAUCCUCAAACAAUCAGCAGCAACCAUUCCCUAGCCCCCUGCCUUCCAAAUUAUCCAUAAAAAUCCUAGCCUCUGAGUUAUUAGGGAGAUUGAUUAAUAAUCCCAGUCCUACCCCUUGGGUUGCUCUGAUUUAAUUAAACCUUCUCUACUGCAAUACCACGGACUCAGUAAAUUGGUUUUGUCUGUGCAAUGGGCAAGAAGAACAUGUUGCAUGGUUAUACAGGUACUACAAGCACAGUCUGAUGGCAAAUUAUUGGUUUUGCUUCCUGCCCUUGAUGUUUCUAAACAUCUAGUCCAAAAUUACUUGUGAAAGGUCCAGCAAAGCCAAUUUUAAAAGAGGCUAUAUGGCCAAUCACUAUUCUUUCUACACAUUAUUGCAAAUAAUCAGGCCACGGCUGGGCACGGUGGCUCAUGCCUGCAAUCCCAGCACUUUGGGAGGCUGAGGCAGGAUCACCUGAAAUCAGGAGUUCAAGACCAGCCUAGGCAACAUGAUAAAACCCUGUCUCUACUAAAAAUACAAAAUUAGCCAGGCAUGGUGGCAUGCACCUGUAAUCCCAGCUACUUGGGAGACUGAGGGAGGAGAAUCACUUGAACCUGGGAGGCAGAGAUUGCAGUGAGCUGAGAUCACACCACUGCACUCCAGCCUGGGCAAUAGAGUGAGACUUUGUCUCAAAUAAUAAUAAUAAUAAUCAGACCAAGUAUAAUGAAAUUAAAAUUUAUUUUGCAAAUAAAUUGGUCCUACUACAAUUUAUCCUUCAUAGAAAUGUGGAAACUGAAGAUAAAAAAAAUUAGGUUUCAGAAGAAAACUAUACUACACCUGUUAUUAGAUUCUAGCCCUAAACAUUGUUUUUGAGGUUUUUAUUAUUUACCUGCAAUUUGGUCUAAAUUCUGAAUUAUUUCCUGACUACAAGUAUCCAAGGAAUAAAUGGGUUUUCUUUUUCUUUAUGAUAGUUUUAGUUGGCUUCUAAUGCAACAACAAUUUUUAUUGUAAUCCUGUGUGCAUUCUAUUCCUACUAUUCAAAUUAUUAAUGUUAUAGAUCUUUCAUUGUAGUACUUCUGAAUUAACCAAAAUCACAGUAUUCUGAAGAUGAUUCUACAAAGCCUGCUGUUUCUACAAAGGCUGCUGAUGAUUUCUACAAAGCCUGCUGUAGUGUUGCUGUGGCCUCUGCUUAAAAAAGUAGAAAACACAUUGAUGCAGCAUGUUCACCCCAACCUCCCUGCCUAAAGGCUCAGGGACCAUCUUGGAAGAGGAAGGCGCGUGAGAUUGUAAGAGCCGAAUUAGGGGGAUGGAGUGUGGAGAAUAAGGACACUUCAUCUUGGAUGCUCACCUGCCAAAUUGACUUCUGAUGAAAGCCAGCUCCAGAAAUGUGCCUACAGUUACUACUUUCACCUAAACCCUGCCCUUAGUCAAAUCCUUCUCUUCUUCUAAGCAAUCAACUUCAAUUCCUUGUAUAACCCACAGUAUAAAAGGGCUUUUAUACCAUUCUAUCCUAUUGCAUGUAAGCCUUGGGUCUGGGAGGUAACAGUGUGGGAUUCCACCAUCUCAUCUCCCUGCCACCCAAACAUGCCUGCUCUUCUUUAAGCAAUAUUAAAUGUUUGUACUUCAGAAAAAAAAAAAAAAA
rnacentral:lncRNA from 1 species